UCCACGAACAAUCUGAAUAAGCUUGAGUUUCAUAAAAGAUAAUGAUAGCAUACAUAGUUUAAUGUUUUCGUAUGACUUUCUGAAAUUUUUGUUAACAAUAUGACUUAGAUGUUGAGCUCGAGGCUAUAUGGUACCGUGUGCACAUAGGUUAGAUUUCGUUGUCGAGUUUGAGUGUACUCCGUAACAUUGAUGUUGUCAUGAGUGUUGGGGCAGACCCCACUACAACAAAGACAAAGGGAGUGUUGGGCGGGUCCCACUACAUUGUAGAGCUAGUAAACGUUGGUUGUACUGGGCAUGCCCUACACAAUAUAGAUUUGUCAUGUUAGUUAAAAAUAGAUAUGCCUUGCUAUAUUUCAAUGACAAACUUGCUGAGUAUUUGAGAAAACUGUUAGUAGUACACGUUUAUAUUUAAGGUUUUGACUAAACAUAUAAAAAUGUGUAAGGUUUUUCAUGUGCUCUGAUUUCCAGAGUUACAGUUUUGAACUUAAUCACUCACUUAGCUUUAUAACUUACUCUUCCAAAAUGUUUUUUCACUUUUCAGGUAGAGAUCGAGCUCCCGAUGCCUGAUAAACUACCUUAGUCUGCUGAAAGCUCUAAGAUCAUUAGCCAGUACAUGGGUGGAGUUGUACAUAGUCUAUUUUGUUAUGUGUUUAUUUGUCUUUGAAGGAUUUAGAUACUUUACAAUUUAUGUAAGCUCUGCGUGUUGUGAUUGUAUAAACUUUUGUUGGAUAUCCUUCUACUUAGGAUGUCUUAAUCAGGUUUAUUUGCUAAACCAACUGUUUCAGGGCUACAUUUCCAUGUAUGUCUAUGGGUUGUUUAGGUUCCGUUGUGUUGUGUUGCAUGAAAAGUAGUUUAUAUACAAUAUUAGCAUGUUUAUCAGGUUCAAUAGUUUAUCAAAAUUGACAGGUAUCGUUAGAGGAGAGUGAUGUCAGUCGGCUUCAUGUCGUCUUCCAGGCUAAGUUAGUAGGUCGUUCGAGAGGGGGUGUAAUAUGUCAUAAAAUAAAAUAUGACAAAAUAAUUUCACAUAUAUGGUGGGUCCCUUUUACAAGAUACCUAGCACAACAUUGAUAUUCAACCUUUGGGUAGAGAUAUCAACUUUAGUACUCUCCAAUUAGCCUUUCUUUAGAUUGACUAUUUUUCACAUGAAAAAUCCUUAUAACUAUCACUUACUCAUUGUCACAUGCAUACUCAUAAUUUGGCCAAAUAAUUAUCUUCCUUUGGACUGAUAAUCAUUCGUAUAAAUCCAAUGAAUAUGCAUAUCCUAUAUUUUAGAGUUAAACUAAUCUAGAUAACAGAGGCUACUUUGGCAACAUGUUAUUUUGUUAAUUCAAUCUAAAAUAUGAGACACAAUAAUGAUAAUUUUAUUAUUGUAAAAAAAAUAAUGGAGGAAGAACAUAAAUCUUUAUCAAAAUUCACCAAAUAAUUGGUUUCAUUAAAAUACAAUUCAUGCAACAUAAGCAUGUGAACAUCCCAAAAAAUUAUCAUUCAAGUUUAAUCCGCAUAAUGAUAAAUUAAUCUUGCUCAAAUUAAACUUGAAUUCACAACAUGAAUAAUCAAAUCUUAAAUCUAGAUCAAUUAAACAUAAAACCACAAUAUGAUUAAUCAAAUAUUGAACCUACAACAUGAUCAAUUAAACUUGUAUUCACAACAUAAUUAAUAAAAUAUUGAAUCAGAUCAAUUAAACCUAAGACCAUAAUAUGGUUAAUCAAAUUUUGAAUCAAGAAACCAAUAAAAAAAAAUUCCAACAAUCCAACAUGAAAUUCAUGCCCUGGUACCACUUGUUGGCAUAAAUACUUUUAAAUCUAUAAAAUAGAUCAACCCAAGAUCAUUCAUGUUAAAUUGUUAAGAGUAAUUUACGUACUAGAUUUCGUUGAUUAUUACUAUAAAAUAGCUAUUGUCUUCUCAAUCAAAACCCUAAAUGUCAUUAGUGGGAUCUUUCUCUUGAUAGAAUAGUAGAAAGAUUGAGUGCCUAUUGUUUUAGUAUAUUGGAGACCAUAGCUCUAAGUCCCUUUUAUAUACUAGUUCAAUUAGGAUUUCUAUUAAAUCCUAAUCAAUCUAGAGUAGGCUUCUACCAAUUUAAUCCAUACUCAAUUAGGAAUCUUGAAUCUUAGUUAAAUAGAUAACAUAAUAGGUCAAAUUUAAUAAAAUAAUAAAUUAUAAUAAAUUAUUAAUUCACGUACCAAUUAUAUGUAUUAUUAUUUAAAUACAUCUAACUCUUCUCAUACAUAACAUUGAAGUUUAUCGCCAGAAAAUUCCAAGACUUUGUGUAUUCCUUAGUAGCCCAAUUUGUUGAGGCCCAAAAUAGAGGCCCAAUUGAGUUGGUUUGUCCAUUUUUCAAAUGGAGACCACUGGUUCAGUUAUGAACUCGUGGGUUUUAGAAGUAAACCCGAAAAAGAAGAUUCCGAUAAUUUUAAGAACUUAACAAAGUAAUAAUUAGAAAAAUUAACAAACGCAAGAAACUGAGGCAAAGGGGUUGGAGUAAAGCCCAAGCCAUCCAAUAUCUACUAAAAUCAAGUGUGUUGCUCGUUCCAGCAUUUCUCUUUGCGAUUCAACUCUCUCUUCUUUCAGGUUUCGAUUUCUUCUUUCAUCUUCAAAGAUUCAGUUCAUUUUCCAUAUCUCAUUGUUUUCCUUUUUAGGGUUUUGGAAUGUGAUUCUGUUCCUUUGAUUUUAAUUUCCGUUUCGAUUUCGGCGCAAACAUUUCCGAUCGACCUGGACUGACGAUUGCUUACCCUUUUUUUCCCUCAUAUCGCAGAGAUUCUCAUAGUUUUUCCACAAGGAAAGCUUCAUUUUCUGACCUGAUGUCGGUGCGUUUUUCUUCUUAGCAUUAUUUUGCUGCUUCUGGAACUUUUAAUUAGCGUGUAGUUCAUUAUUUUGAUAUUGGAUUGUCAUUGUAGAUCUUUGAGUAUAAUGGAAGUGCUGUAGUUGCGAUGGUGGGGAAGAAUUGCUUUGCCAUUGCCAGUGAUCGUAGGCUUGGUGUUCAGCUGCAGACUAUUGCCACAGAUUUCCAGAAAAUUUACAGGAUUCAUGACAAGCUAUUUCUUGGCCUUUCGGGGCUUGGUACCGAUGCUCAGACACUGUAUGUUUCUGUUGGUGGAUUUCUUUGUUUUGGUCUAAUUUGUCAUUGCUUACCUCCUGCCCUUGAAAUGAAGGUAUCAACGGCUUGUUUUCCGGCACAAACUGUACCAACUUCGUGAAGAGAGGGACAUGAAGCCUGAGACUUUUGCUAGCCUGGUCUCAGCUAUUCUUUAUGAGAAAAGGUUGGACAACUACUUAGUUAUUUCUUUCCUCUUUUUCAGUACCCAUAUUCUCUAUUUCUCGUUUUCGAUGAAAAAAUAUGGAUGGGAUUUCUAUAGGAUUUCCACAGCUUCCUUUGUGUGUGUUGAUUCUUCUACCAAUGUAAUUCUUGUCCUUUGGUGUGAGAUUUUAAGCUAACUUGAGAGUUUAUUGCUUGGGAACCUUUCAAUGCUAUACAGUACAUGCAUGUAGUUAGACCGUGUUAUGGAAUUGGUAUAUGUUUGAAUGACUAAUAAGAUAUUCUAUACUUAGUUUAAAAUAGGAUUGCAAGUUGAAUUUCUGGAUUGUUGAAAUGUGGACAAAGUUGGGAACUGUAUUGGAUCAAGUGUCCAUCUCAAGAUAGUUCCUAGUCUCUAACCUAGCAUUUAUAGGCAACAAGAUCUGUUGUGACAUAAUAACGACUGUGUAAUUGUAGAAUGAACCUUUACUCUCAGUAGGAUGUAAGUUAGUUUUUCACAUAUGCCAUGAAUAUACCAAAAGGUUAAUGAUAGGAAUGCAAUUAGAGAUAUUGUAAGUGUAUAAUAGUAAUUAGGUAGGCCGUAGGCGGUGGUUAUGGGGUUUGGUUAUAAAUGGAGGGACUGUGGAAAGAGGAAGUUAGCAUUGGGUGAGUGAAUAGGUUGGGAGAGAUAUCAGAAGUGUCAGUAUGCAAGUACCUCAAAUCAAAUGUUUAGCUUGUAGUUUCUUCUUAAUGUUGCAACAAUAAGUUUGUAUGUUUUAAGUGUUUGGAUACCAAACACUAGUAUUAUUUGCAUGAUCUGAAUACUUAUAUUUUGGUCUUCUUAAAUUUCAUGAAGUGGAUCACAGUACCAAACUAAACUGUCUCAAUUACCCUACUUUAUAGAAAUGGCCAUGAUGAAAUUGUGAUAUUAUGGGAUUGGGUUAGUACUAAGUACUUAUCGCUCUGAAAAUUUUUUGUUCUAUAGUUUUUUAAUAAGUCAUCCAUGGAUAUCAAUUGACAGGAGAAGGGUUGUGUUUAUAACAUUUUCUAUAAGAUUCAUUCUUUUUUGAUAAGAGGUUGAAUUUAUGACUGUUAUUUGGUCUUUUAGUAUGGAUAAAAACUCGUAUAUCAAUUUUCUUAUUUGUAGGUUUGGUCCAUAUUUUUGCCAGCCUGUAAUUGCUGGAUUGAGUGAUGAAGACAAACCCUUCAUUUGCACGAUGGAUUCCAUUGGGGCCAAGUGAGUACUCUCUUUUUCUCUUUUUUUUUCCUAGUUACCAACUUCUUUAUUUUGUUUGAUUUUAUUUUUCUCUAAAAUCAUUAUUUGCAUUUCUUCAUUUUGUUUGAAAUGUGCAUCUGGCUUGAAGUUGCAGCCUCUGCGACACAUUGCAUUGGAAUCUGAUUUCUGAGAUGAAUAUUUUGCUAGAUUUAGGAUUAUUAAAUGUAAAACUCAUAUGUGUCAAAUUCAUUGGUUCACAGAGAGCUUGCUAAGGAUUUUGUUGUUUCUGGUACUGCAUCGGAGUCCCUUUAUGGUGCUUGUGAGGCAAUGUUUAAACCUGACAUGGUAUGUUGGUAUACUCCAUUUAAAUAUGCUUUAUAUUUGUAAUUGGGAUUCUAAAUUGCUUUACAUGAGGAUGCAGUAUGCAAAAGAAAAGAGAACCCUUAAGAGGAAAGACUUCAGAAUAUAGUACUAAAUGCCAUGGCUUUGGCUUGAGAAUGACGAAUACAUGAAAACAGGGAUGCAGAAACAGAAUCAUAAUAGAAGAAAAAGGAUUAAGUGUAUGUCCAUAGAAGGAAGAGGCAGAGAAAUUAGUGCACGUGUGUGUUAGAAAGAGAGUAGAAAAAAAUCUGAUUAUAGAUGUACAUCAACCAUUUUAGAGAAUGGAAGAAUAAAUUAGGGAAGUAAAACACUCUUCUAGUUGGAGUUGGAAAAUCAGACAUUCAUGGAUCAAAGGAAUUGGUAUGUUCAUGGACAAUCAUUGGAAAAAGAGAAGAAAAAAGUGAAGAUCACUCUUUGGUCAUGGAUAGUGACUUAAAAUGUACUGUGGUGAACUGAUGAAGUGAUAAAAAAAUCUGAAUUUCGAAUUUCCUGAGAGAUGGCCAACAUGGCGUCUUUGAGUAAGAGCAUUGAAGGUUAAGACAAGUAUAUGAGUGGCACUGGGCAUUUAUCAGUUGGUUAGAUUGACAUUCGAAAAUAUUGAAAACCAAAAGCAAUAAACUUAUGGGUUAUUUUCCAAAGACCGAAAAAAAGAAGAAAAAGGAGAACUAAGUUAAAAAACCGACAUUUCUUUAAAUUGGCACCCAAAUGUUGUAGGGUCAUGCGGGUGUCCCGUAAGAUUAGUCGAGAUGCGUGCAAGUUGGUUCGGAUAUAAAAAUGAAAUUUCAGUCGCCCUAUAUUAUUGGGCGCCUUUAAUUAUCCAGUUUUGAGAUAGUGGUUCAGCUUUUAAAAGACAGUCCAAUAUGGUCUUGCCCUUUUGGAUUUUUAAUUGAACACCUCCUGUUAGAAUGGAAAGCCACCAUAGAUUCUUUUAUCUGAUUGUGCUAUGCUGCACAUGAUGUUCAAAUUUGUCCUAUUGAUUGAUAGCACCUUAAAUAUUCUUGUUAGGAAAAAAUAUUGUCAUAGUUCUUUUCUUUUGUGAAAAUGUUCUCAACUAAACUCACUCCGUUGAUUCAUUUUUGUAAUGCCCAGGAACCAGAGGAAUUAUUUGAGACCAUCUCUCAAGCGCUGCUUUCUUCUGUGGAUAGGGACUGUUUGAGUGGAUGGGGAGGGCAUGUCUAUGUUGUGUAAGCCACAUAUUCUUAACUCUCUAUGUUUAAUGGUCGAUAUAUCUUUCUGGAUAGUUUAUUCGUGUGUGUGUUUUUAAGAAGUUUGAUGUGGAUUGUGAUUACUCUGGUAGAUAUUGCUUUUGCCUUACAAUUAUAUUACUUUGGACGAAAUAAUAUUCAUGACAUAAAAUUACCUUAAUACACCAAUCCACAUAUUAUAAAAAAGGCAAUAAUAAUGAUAAUAUCUGUAACAGAACUUGUCAUGAGGAAAAUUGUGCAAUUUAUUAAUUGACUAGGUACGCAUUAUUAUGUCUUGUUUCAUAAUUUUCGUUUUUGGUUUUCUUAACAAUUUUUUGGUAAACUUUUCACCUUAAAAACACAACGAAUUCUAUGCAAAAUUUCAAAAAACAAAACCAAGUUUUUAAAAUCUACUGUUUUCAAAUUUUGGCUAGGGUUUUUAGAUUUUUUUUCAAAAAGUAGGUAAUAAAAGAAAACUCUACCUAGGUCCCUUUUCUCGACAAUAGACUAGAGACUACGGAUAGUAGUUGUGGGAGGGUGGGGUAAUAAAAGAAAAUUUCUAAUCUUUUGAUGUGUUGCAUGUAAUUUUUUCUCUCUAGUUAAUAAUUUAAACGAUUAUGUUGUAUUCAAAUAAUAGUAAUAAUAAUAAAAUAAUCUCAACCAUUAUGGACACCCUGAGAAUUGAAUCAACAUUUCAGAGAUUUUUCUUUCUUUCAUUGUAAACGAAAAAAAAUUUCUUUCACAUCUACCUAACUCUUACCUUUUUCUCUUUCCCUUUUAACCUUCUUAUCUCUGUUUACCUUUUCCGAUUUUUCAUUGUAUAUUUGUCACUGAAAUUACCCUGUAAUGUGUCAUUGUUGCAGUACGCCUACUGAAGUGAAAGAGCGAAUCUUGAAGGGACGCAUGGAUUGAUCCAUUUUUUUGAUGUUUGAAAGAUGACUUGUUUCAUGAUUACUUCAAAUUAGGCUGCAGUCCAGGGCAAUGGAGUUCACGAGUGAAAUGCAA
rnacentral:lncRNA from 1 species